UGGCGGCGACCGGCGCACGGGUGAGUAACACGUAUGGAACCUGCCCUUUACUGGGAGAUAACCCGGAGAAAUCCGGACUAAUAUCCCAUAACAAGCGGGGUGGCAUCACCUUGCUUUGAAAGCUCCGGCGGUAAAGGAUGGCCAUGCGCCCGAUUAGCUGGUUGGUGGGGUAACGGCCCACCAAGGCGACGAUCGGUAGGGGGCCUGAGAGGGUUAUCCCCCACACUGGUACUGAGACACGGACCAGACUCCUACGGGAGGCAGCAGUGAGGAAUAUUGCGCAAUGGAGGCAACUCUGACGCAGCCAUGCCGCGUGCAGGAAGAAGGCGCUACGCGUUGUAAACUGCUUUUAUCCGGGAAGAAACCCCUCCACGCGUGGAGGGUUGACGGUACCGGAGGAAUAAGCACCGGCUAACUUCGUGCCAGCAGCCGCGGUAAUACGAAGGGUGCAAGCGUUAUCCGGAUUCAUUGGGUUUAAAGGGUGCGUAGGCGGGAUAGCAAGUCAGUGGUGAAAUCCCGUGGCUUAACCACGGAAUUGCCAUUGAUACUGCUGUUCUUGAGUACGCUCGACGUGGGCGGAAUGUGCCGUGUAGCGGUGAAAUGCUUAGAUAUGGCACAGGACACCGAUAGUGAAGACAGCUCACGAGGGCGAAACUGACGCUGAGGCACGAAAGCGUGGGGAUCAAACAGGAUUAGAUACCCUGGUAGUCCACGCCGUA
rnacentral:rRNA from 1 species